GAGAGACUUAAGAAGUUUUUCAUUGUCACUUGCUUGCAAAUUGUAUUUGCAACAUUUUAAUCUUUAUAAGAUUAAGGGCGUAUAGAUCAGUUGGUUAGAGCACACGCGUGAUAAGCGUGAGGUCGGUGUUCAAGUCCAUUUAGGCCCACCAUAACCACAAAUAGGCAAAUCUUAAAAAGUCCUUGAAAGUAGUAAACGAAGUUAAAA
rnacentral:misc_RNA from 1 species